rnacentral:rRNA from 1 species
UCUGGUUGAUCCUGGCGGAGGUUACUGCUAUCGAGGUUCGACUAAGCCAUGCGAGUCGAAUGUAGCAAUACAUGGCGUACUGCUCAGUAACACGUGGACAACCUACCCUUAGGUCGGGGAUAAACCCGGGAAACUGGGUAUAAUACUCGAUAGUCCUCGGAUGCUGGAAUGCACCGAGGUCUAAAGCUCCGGCGCCUAAGGAUGGGUCUGCGGCCUAUCAGGUAGUAGUGGGUGUAGCGUACCUACUAGCCUACGACGGGUACGGGUUGUGAGAGCAAGAGCCUGGAGAUGGAUUCUGAGACACGAAUCCAGGCCCUACGGGGUGCAGCAGGCGCGAAAACUUUACAAUGCUGGAAACAGCGAUAAGGGGACCUUGAGUGCCAGGUUACAAAUCUGGCUGUCGUGAUGCCUAAAACGCAUUGCAUAGCAAGGGCCGGGCAGGACCGGUGCCAGCCGCCGCGGUAACACCGGCGGCUCGAGUGGUAACCGCUAUUAUUGGGUCUAAAGGGUCUGUAGCCGGCCGGAUAAGUCUUUUGGGAAAUCUGGCAGCUUAACUGUCAGGCUUUCAGAGGAUACUGUCUGGCUCGAGGCCGGGAGAGGUGAGAGGUACUUCAGGGGUAGGGGUGAAAUCUUGUAAUCCUUGAAGGGCCACCAGUGGCGAAGGCGUCUCACCAGAACGGACCUGACGGCAAGGGAC